ACGGAAGGCAGCAGUGGGGAAUAUUGCACAAUGGGGGAAACCCUGAUGCAGCGACGCCGCGUGAGCGAUUGAAGUAUUUCGGUAUGUAAAGCUCUAUCAGCAGGGAAGAAAAUGACGGUACCUGACUAAGAAGCCCUGGCUAACUACGUGCCAGCAGCCGCGGUAAUACGUAGGGGGCAAGCGUUAUCCGGAUUUACUGGGCGUAAAGGGAGCGCAGGCGGAAGGCCAAGUCUGAUGUGAAAACCCGGAGCUCAACUGCGGGAUUGCAUUGGAAACUGGUCAUCUUGAGUCUCGGAGGGGCAAGCGGAAUUCCUAGUGUAGCGGUGAAAUGCGUAGAUAUUAGGAGGAACACCAGUGGCGAAGGCGGCUUACUGGACGAUAACUGACGCUGAGGCUCGAAAGCGUGGGGAGCAAACAGGAUUAGAUACCCUGGUA
rnacentral:rRNA from 1 species